GUGCUAACAUCCUCUGAUAACUCUUUGAUUUGCUGUUUUGCAUUGUGUUUUAUGCCUCUUUCUGGAAUGUAGGGUCCACUAACCAGUUAUAUCUGCUGUCUGCUGUUACAUACCCUGGGAACUAUCAAGAGGAGAAACCAGAUGGUUGCCUGCUGGUGUUGCUACAAAAGAGGAUUGGGACCUAACACUGUAUAUUGGCCUCCGCACUGCAAGGUUAAGAUUUAAGUGUGCUCAAUUGCCAGAUCUGUGUUUACCAGUGACAGCCAUCUACCUGAAAUGGCUUUGGAAGCAAAA